GGUGGCUCUUUGGUAGAGUGCUUGCCUUGCAUGCAUGAGGCUCUGGGUUCAAUUCCUCAGCACCA
rnacentral:tRNA from 1 species